UACGUAGGGUGCGAGCGUUGUCCGGAAUUAUUGGGCGUAAAGAGCUCGUAGGCGGUCUGUCGCGUCGAUCGUGAAAACUUGGGGCUUAACCCUGAGCUUGCGGUCGAUACGGGCAGGCUAGAGUCCGGCAGGGGAGACUGGAAUUCCUGGUGUAGCGGUGAAAUGCGCAGAUAUCAGGAGGAACACCGGUGGCGAAGGCGGGUCUCUGGGCCGGAACUGACGCUAAGGAGCGAAAGCGUGGGGAGCGAACAGG
rnacentral:rRNA from 1 species